rnacentral:piRNA from 1 species
UACACGCAUCAGGUGGCUUACAACUGCCUA